CCAAUGCCAACUCAUUGCUGGCACGUGUCCGGAGACCAUCCAGCUCCUUCCUGUGGGCCUGCAGCACCAGCUCUGUCAACCGCGUGAAAGACUGGGAAACCAAGGGUCACAGCAACAGAGAAGACCCGUAAUAGCAAGAGACCAAUGAUGCCAUCUUCCCCCUGAGUGACACGUAAGGGGACAAAUGGGGAGAAUGAUACAGAAGGUGACCUAAGAGACAAAUCUCAAGAGAAGAGUCAAGACAAAGGCUCUUGGCACACCAAUGUCACACCAGGUGGGUGAGGGGAGUGGGGAGAGCAUCUUUGCCCCAAACCUGCCACUUGCUGCGUUCUCCUUCCUUCCCUCUAGGGACACAGCCUCGCUGUCUGCUGGACCACACGCCACCACCUGACUUCCUCCUCUUACCCAAUUGCAGACUGAUGGUCCCUCAUGCUGGCCUCAUCCUGGGGAGGUGCACCAGGCUCUCUGGGCAAAUGCAUUACUCAGCAUUUGCACUGUCUUACUCUGGGAGGGAUGGGAAGCAGAAAUAAAAGAGGCAGCCCUGGUCUUUGGCAGUCAGAAUCCUGA